rnacentral:rRNA from 1 species
UACGAAGGGUGCUAGCGUUGUUCGGAAUCACUGGGCGUAAAGCGCGCGUAGGCGGCUUUGCAAGUCAGGGGUGAAAUGCCAAGGCUCAACCUUGGAACUGCCUUUGAAACUGCAAAGCUAGAGUGUCGGAGGGGAUAGCGGAAUUCCUAAUGUAGAGGUGAAAUUCGUAGAUAUUAGGAGGAACACCGGUGGCGAAGGCGGCUAUCUGGACGACAACUGACGCUUAGGCGCGAAAGCGCGGGGAUCAAACAGG